AGUUUGAUCCUGGCUCAGGAUGAACGCUGGCGGCGUGCCUAAUACAUGCAAGUCGAACGGUGUAUAUGAGCAAUCGUAUACAUAGUGGCGAACGGGUGAGUAACGCGUUGGUGACCUGCCCUAAAGCGGGGGACAACAGCUCGAAAGGGCUGCUAAUACCCCAUACAGUUGUGAGAGAUUAGAAACUUGCAACGAAAGGAGUAAUCCACUUUAGGAGGGGCCUGCGUCCCAUCAGCUAGUUGGUAGGGUAACGGCCUACCAAGGCGUAGACGGGUAGGGGACCUGAGAGGGUGGCCCCCCACAAUGGAACUGAAACACGGUCCAUACACCUACGGGUGGCAGCAGUAGGGAAUAUUGCACCAUGGGCGAAAGCCUGAUGCAGCAACGCCGCGUGAGUGAUGAAGGCCUUCGGGUCGUAAAACUCUUUUCAAGGGAAAGAGGAAGGACGGUACCCUUGGAAUAAGCAUCGGCUAACUACGUGCCAGCAGCCGCGGUAACACGUAGGAUGCAAGCGUUAUUCGGAUUUACUGGGCGUAAAGCGCGUGUAGGCGGUUAGGAGAGUUGGAUGUGAAAGCUCCCGGCUUAACUGGGAGAGGUCGUUCAAAACUUCCUGACUAGAGUUUGGUAGAGGAAAAUGGAAUUCCGGGUGUAGUGGUGAAAUGCGUAGAUAUCCGGAGGAACACCAGUGGCGAAAGCGAUUUUCUGGACCGAUACUGACGCUCAGACGCGAAAGCUAGGGUAGCAAACGGGAUUAGAGACCCCGGUAGUCCUAGCUGUAAACGAUGUAGACUUGGC
rnacentral:rRNA from 1 species